rfam:Ornithorhynchus anatinus chromosome 2, whole genome shotgun sequence.
CCCCUCUCAGGGUAGCACGUGGAGAGUUUCCACUACUCUACCAGUCGCAGCUACAGGAGGGAGAGUCAAGCAGAGGUAUAUCCAUUCCAUUACUAUCUUGGCCAGUGGCUAGUGAAUGGAAGGCAAUCUGCUACAAGU